UAUGAUAUCAGCAUGGUGAAGCCUGGAGAUCGAGUCAAGAAGCAGCAAAUGGCCGCCCCUCGCGGUUGACUCAGGGCUUGGUUGUCCGUCGUUGUGCUCAGCACUGUAUAUAUCUCCUAGCCUCAGGGUCCACCUUUGACAGAACCUCUCGUGAACUUCUCGUUUCAUAUCUAAGUUGUACUACUCAGGGCUUGGUUGUCCGUUGUUGUGCUCAGCACUGUAUAUAUCUCCUAGCCUCAGGGUCCACCUUUGACAGAAUCUCUUGUGAACUUCUGAUUUCAUAUCUAAGUUGUACUACACAGCUUGUUUCGAAGUGUACCAGCACUUGUUGUGUUAUUUAGGACUCCGUCUCUGGCUUGAAAUGGGCUCUUUGUGGUGGCAUAUACCCCUUCCUUAACUUAAUAUGGAGUAUACAUUUUUUGGUGC
rnacentral:sRNA from 1 species